rnacentral:lncRNA from 1 species
GAUCACUGUUGGCAAAUCGAUUAAGUUUGUCAUGUUUCCCUUCCCUUUGUGAUGCUCAGAAGAUUGCCUUUUAUUUAUUUCAUAUGAUCAAAAUAAUGAUUCACACAACAUUUGCCAGUGCCCGUCCCGCUCAAACAAGAUCGUCCAACAUUGCUCGAGCAAGAGAAAAACAGCAACUGCAUGCGCUCGCUCAAAUAUUUCUCUCUUUCCCAGAAUGAACAUUCUGUGUUCCAAUACGCUUAGUAGUGGUAUGGAGGUGGUGGAGAUUUGUACUUGUACACCGGAGGAGGUGGAGAAUACACUGGCGGAGGUGGGGAUUUGUACUUGUACACUGGAGGUGGUGGGGAGUAAACCGGAGGUGGCGGAGACUUGUAUUUGUACACUGGUGGAGGCGGGCUGUGAACCGGGGGUGGUGGAGAUUUGUACUUGUAAACCGGUGGUGGUGGGCUGUGAACUGGGGGUGGCGGAGACUUGUAUUUGUAAACUGGUGGUGGUGGGCUGUAAACCGGGGGUGGUGGAGAUUUGUACUUGUAAACCGGUGGUGGUGGGCUGUGAACUGGGGGUGGCGGAGACUUGUAUUUGUAAACUGGCGGUGGUGGGCUGUAAACCGGUGGAGGUGGAGAUUUGUACUUGUACACUGGAGGAGGAGGUGAGUACACGGGUGGUGGUGGGGAUUUGUAUUUGUAGACGGGUGGAGGAGGCGAGUGCACUGGUGGUGGUGGGGAUUUGUAUUUGUAGACAGGCGGAGGUGGCGAGUACACUGGCGGUGGCGGGGACUUGUAUUUGUACACCGGUGGAGGUGGCGACUUCACUGGUGGAGGCGGGGAUUUGUAGUAGUAUGUUGGCGGUGGCGGGGAAGCGUAUUUGUAAACCGGCGGCUCAUUGGCGCCCGCGAGAGCGGCCAGUGUCACACCCACAAAGAAGACGACGAGCAUUGGGCUCGGCCCCAUCAUCCUUGGAUCAAUCGACCACUAUAAGCUACUUGCGACUCAAUCGCCCAAACCAAUGCUAUCUAGAUUUCAAGAGCGCGAUACCAAUUUCCCCUCUCAAAUCUCUCUUGCGGAGGAGAGAAGAGAAGAAGAGCUAGUUAGAAUGGAAGAAUGGAGCACCGGAGGAGGGCUUUUUAUACUGCCUGCUUUCGCUCGAAGCACUUACUGGCUCUGGAGCCGAGUUACUAAAAUAGCAUUUCUUAAAACGCAUGGACGGUGUAGACGGAGCGCAAAGUUGACCGGGUUUCUUCGAUUCACUCUGUGAACAACUGGUUAAACGAAAACAACACGGUGGAAGUGGGGUCUCGUUGCCAGCUUUCAAAAGAAGUUUCAAAGAGAAUGGCCAAAUGGGAAAUGGUCUCAUCUCCAAAACAAACUAAUCUCUAGACUUUUUGUUUGGGUUCCCAGAGCAGCAGUUUUGCUCAAACUCGUUGUUUGGUGGUCAGUCCGAGUCGCGUUUGGCGGAGCGCAGCGACUUGCACAACUUUCUUGCUCUUUGUUUAUUUGUUUUCGCCAUCUUUGCAUGUCGAUAGAGUUUCAAUGACUCGAGCUCUGGGAAGAAUGAAUCAAAGGAAAGAGCUGUUCGAACAACUAAAUCCUCUUGAAAUGCGCGAGCUUGAAAAAUUUGCAAAAGGGAAGAAACUGUUGAAGCAAGUGCGAUUUGUACACAUGGAUGUUCUCCACGAGUGAAGUGAAAAACUAUUUGUCCUUGUGUGGAAGAAUGAAGAACAGUGGUUUUCAUUCAGCUAACCUGGUCUCUUUCCUUCAAAGUGACGUCCAGAUUCGAGCGGACCAGCAGAAAACUCUUAGAAAACUCUCACGAACAAAUCGCUCGACGAUCAAUCAAUCGUAUUCUUUACUUGCCAGCGAGAUCUUCUCGGGUCAAUGUGGGGCGCUGGGCCGAGGUAAAAACACGAACAAUUUCACUGUGAAAUCCGUGACUUUUUUACACCACGCUACUUUCCCAUCAUCGCAUGUUUCGUGGCAUGUCAGAGUGACAGAAGCUCAUUUACAGGCUCCCUACGUAGCUCUUGCUCCAUGACUAUCACGAAGCAAGAUGAUUACCUUGGCCUCUCUCCAAGCUGUAAGACACGACCGAUUUACAGGCGAUUGUACGAAGUUACUUUGUCUUUGGUAACUCAAAGAAUCACAUGCAGGCUUGCUUCCAAUGGACGUUUAUUCUCGUCCUUCAAAUCUUGACUUGACAAUGUUGCUGCUGCUUCUGCUGUUGCAUUCGGUCACGAUGAUUGCGUGCUUGGCAAAGAUAGAACUCCAUUCCCUGCAAAACUGACAAGCCAUUGAGUUUUUUCAGUAAGUCCUUUAAAAUAUAGUGUUAUAUUAUGGUUUAUGUCGAAAAUGGUAAGUGGUUUUUGGAAGAGUUUAAACAAGUUUUCAAGCUGGACGCCACUACAUGGUGAAGAUGACCGGCAUUGGAUUCAGCUAUGUGAUCUUGCCAGAAUUUCAAUUAGCUACAGCAGUGCAGAGAGGAAACUUUUCAUUUCAUCUGAUUGAAAGGGGUCUUUGUGACAAAAACAUUUUACUGAAGCUAUCGAAAAUUUUAGAAACGAAGAAGAAGAAUCGUCUCAAAUUUGUCCAUUAUACGUGCUAUGGCUGGCUCUCGAACGUUGAUCGCAUCGAUAUCCAUACAGUCAUGAGCAGCUGCCACCAUGGAAAGAGUGAACGAAGUUGAAAAGACGAAAGAGCGGCCUCUAGAUUGCAACAGCAAUUUCCACUUGCAACUGCUGCUUGAGAAACGAUUGAGAGAAGUUAAAAAAUCAUGUCAGACCUGGUAGCAAUGAAACCACCCUAACAACCACUCCAUUUUCACCACAGAUCAAAGAUUCGUGGAGGUAUCUCCAGUUUUAGAACACUCUUUGGAUCUGGAGAUGAUACACAUCGUCGAUAACCAGAAAAAAGUUAUACUUAUCCUACAGUUGAACCAGCUUACUACACCAAAGACCAAUUCAGAGCUUUGAGGUUGAUAGGAGAGAUGAGAUACUUGUCAGUAAUGACAACUUUCCUUUCAACUUUAAGAUCUGCAUGAGACAAAAACGCAUAAGUCAACAGAGGACAAGAAUGCUUUCUCAUGUUAUUAUAGAUCUAUAUAUAUUACUAGGGACAUUGCUAGCAAUAGUGGUUUCUCUGUGCUUGCUUAUCUUAGUGUUCAUGAAGUUUCCUUCCACAUUUUCAGUGCACUACCUUAUAAUGAAAAGUGAAUGUGGAGAGUAGGAAAAGAGUGAGUGCCGAACAUGCUAAACUACCUUUCCCAAGUCAAAGGCCAUUUUGUUCCGGUAUGGAAAAUAUUGAAUAGUGGGGAGAGAGGAAGCACCAAAGAGAGAAUUAAGUUAUUUCUACCACGAAGCUAGCAAGAAGAAAAAGGAGGCAAGAAUCCAAAAACACCAAGUGUAAUGGUUUAUUUAAGAGGCUCCAAAGCAAGAAGUGCUCUAGGACCAAGCAUAAUCAUUAUUGAAAUGAUGUUAAAGGGUUAGAAUGUGCUCGUAACCAAGAAAAAGUCAAGGUUUUUGUUGUUUUAAACUAAGUGUGAUUAAAUAAUAGGGAUUAGUAAUAAUUAUAAGGCUUAGGGUAUGAAAUACAAAAAAGGGUUUGGUGGAAAGUAAAAAGUGUGAUAAAGAAUAACAAUAGCAUUGUUGAAGAGGUCAAUGUCGAAGAGGAUGAACUCUUAGAUGGCCGUAGUGACAAUUAAUAUCGAAGUGUAGGGAGGUUUAAAUCUCUAGGCAAUAAUGGUUUUUCCGUGGUGUUUGUGGAGUUUCCCUCCACAUACUAAUAUUCUGUAUACUCCUUUCUAGGUUGGUCAUUGACGGUGUCCAGGUGGCUCAAAAUUAUUUAGAAUUAUUGGAUAAGAUUUUGUCAUUUUGGAUUGUCAAUUAUUAUUGAAUAAUUUUGGUUGAACAUUUUUAUUGGAUUUUUUGAGAAUCAUUGGAUAAUUUUUGUCAAGCUUUGCAUAUCAAAAUUAUUGGAUAAUUUUUGUAGAGAAUUUUGUUUGAAAAUUGUUGAAUAGUUUUUGUUGAGCUUUUUGUAUUGGAAUUGUCAAGAAUUAUUAGAUAAUUUUUGUUUUUUAGAUAAAAACUUUCAUAUUGGAAUUUUAGAGAUUUUCUGGAUUAAAUUUUUUGUCACUUUUUGGACUUUUUGAAUCUGCUUUUUAGUUACACCACUGUUGAAAAUGUUAUGCAAUAGGAAAAUUUAAUUGAGAGACAGCCUCAUGGCAAACAAGAAUGGAACUUCCACUAUUCUUCUUCAACGUUUCCACCAACUUCGUGGUGGUAGGAUAAAUCCUUUGGGCAACUUAUUCAUAUCUGGAGCUCUGUGAGUUUGUGGAGGACAAUACCUACUUUUAGAUGAGUAAUGAAUGAAGAGACCAUAUCUAUACUUCUUACGUUCUAGCAAGCCACAGACUAGUUUGAUAUGGAUAUAUUCCUUUAGCUGAAAAACUACCUUACCACUCUUGACUGAUGUGUUAGUGCAUGAUAUAAAGUCAAUCAUACUAUAUUUUCUCAAGGCAAAUUACUCAUUGUUUAGCAUAAUGGAUGCAUCACAUCCAUGAAAAUGAUAUGAACCAGGCUUUUCUUUCAUGACUAUCAUGUGAAUGUAAGUAAAGUUUUCAGAUUAUAAAGAUUCUUUCAAUGCCUAAAAGCCAUUAUUAAUAAAUGUAUGUGUUAAUAUUUUAUUGUUGAUUUUGCCUUUCUUUGUACAUUGUAGAACAUCUAGAGUCAUGACUUAUUGAAAGAAAAAUUAAAUUUGUGCUCAAAAUUCUGAAAUUUCAUGGAAGCUAGCUUAGUACAUUUUUAAUAUAUAAGUGUUUACAGUCCACUUAUGGCCAAACUAAGGAGCAAAGGACCCUACUCCUACAUGCAUGCAAUACAUUUUAACUCUCUCGUGUCCCUCUAGUCAAUGAUUUUGAUUUUCAUUGCCAUGAGCUUGAGCAGGGGUGUUAGCUAUAAGGGCUAUAUACAACUUAUGACAUUGAACUAUAUAAAGAAAGGAACAUAAGGAUGCUGCUUUUCACUUGCAGGACAAUCUUCGUGGAUUAAAAGUUUUCAAAUUUUUAAACAAAAAUCCAGCUAGCUGUAUGGAAGAACUUGUCAGUUUUGCUUUCUAGACAGGUGCAAUGGAAAUUCACAAGUUUGAGUUGCAGUUGGACUCUUGCAUGUUUUUCCACACCGUGUUGGGGACUCUUGUAUCCUUGUGUGGAUCACUGUUGGCAAAUCGAUUAAGUUUGUCAUGUUUCCCUUCCCUUUGUGAUGCUCAGAAGAUUGCCUUUUAUUUAUUUCAUAUGAUCAAAAUAAUGAUUCACACAACAUUUGCCAGUGCCCAUCCCGCUCAAACAAGAUCGUCCAACAUUGCUCGAGCAAGAGAAAAACAGCAACUGCAUGCGCUCGCUCAAAUAUUUCUCUCUUUCCCAGAAUGAACAUUCUGUGUUCCAAUACGCUUAGUAGUGGUAUGGAGGUGGUGGAGAUUUGUACUUGUACACCGGAGGAGGUGGAGAAUACACUGGCGGUGGUGGGGAUUUGUACUUGUACACUGGAGGUGGUGGGGAGUAAACCGGAGGUGGCGGAGACUUGUAUUUGUACACUGGUGGAGGCGGGCUGUGAACCGGGGGUGGUGGAGAUUUGUACUUGUAAACCGGUGGUGGUGGGCUGUGAACCGGGGGUGGCGGAGACUUGUAUUUGUAAACUGGUGGUGGUGGGCUGUAAACCGGGGGUGGUGGAGAUUUGUACUUGUAAACCGGG